rnacentral:rRNA from 1 species
UACGUAGGGUGCAAGCGUUGUCCGGAAUUAUUGGGCGUAAAGAGCGUGUAGGCGGCUCGAUUAGUCCGCUGUGAAAGUCCAGGGCUCAACCCUGGAAUGCCGGUGGAUACUGUCGAGCUAGAGUCCGGAAGGGGCGAGUGGAAUUCCUGGUGUAGCGGUGAAAUGCGCAGAUAUCGUAAGGAAGACCAGUGGCGAAGGCGGGUCUCUGGACAGUUCCUGACGCUGAGGCACGAAGGCCAGGGGAGCAAACGGG